rnacentral:lncRNA from 1 species
UACGUGUUUUGCCCUUCCGAACGUUUAGCUCUGGGUGCAGCUCUGGGCUUGACUGGCGGCACACCUCAUGAAAGGAAAUUUGAUUGAUAGACAAGAUUAUUUACCAAAUCUGGCACAUCUCCUGACUGGACCGAAACUAGAAACUACUACAAUCUACAGUGAACUAAGGAUCUAACUUCAAACUCUCCUUAAGCCCACAAUAUUAAAGGCGGAGGCGUUUUGAACAAGAAUAUAUGAUUACAAAGCUAUUUUGGGAGCUGUACUAAUUCAGCUUGAUACAUGCUUAAACACCUAUACAACAUUGCUUAAUAGAAGCAAUAAAGAUAAAUAGGGCUUCAUGAUUGUGAAUAUCAGAUGUAAUUAUGGUCACAAUAUUAAUAUUUAGCUUACUGUUUACACACCACAAUCUCAGCAGAAAAGACCUCAGAGAUUAUGAAUGUCGUGUGGAAAAUGCCUCAGAAACAUCUGGCAGCACGAGAAGCCUGGGCAUCUUACUGCAAGCCCCUGGGACAGCAGCAACCAAAGGGAAGCUAAGCAGAAACCAGAAAGUCAUCACUCUGACAUGCUUUAGUCUUCAGAGCCCCAUGCAUGUAAAUCUGCUGUAUCUGGAGAAGGAACAUGGAGAUUUGAGAGACCAGGCAGAAGAGAAAUGCACCCUGCAGAGCCUGAAAGUCAUCACCAGUGCAGACAGGGGAGCUGCUACUGGCCACAGCUGUGUUUUAYUAAUGGACAACAGCAAAAAGUUUCAGGCCAAAUUUAUUCUUACAGGAAAAGUGUUUCUGGUAGGGAUAUCAAAUUGUGUUAUGACAGCAAAGCUACCCAAGCUGAAAGUUUUUGCAGAGGGUCUGACUGUCCUGCACGUGCGCCAAGAUAAUCAGACUUCAGAGGGUAGGUACCAAUUCUCCCUGCAGAGCUACAAAAGUAGCAUUAACAGCAUACACAAUGAAGGAUAA